CUCUGGGCCAUCGUAUUGGUUCAGGGCAAAGGAG
ncrna:Lentilactobacillus buchneri ATCC 11577 L31-Firmicutes ribosomal protein leader